GCCAGAGAUGGCUUGGUGCCCGAAAGGGAAUCGGAACACAGGUGCUGCAUGGCUGUCGUCAGCUCGUGUCGUGAGAUGUUGGGUUAAGUCCCGCAACGAGCGCAACCCUUAUCAUUAGUUGCUACGCAAGGGCACUCUAAUGAGACUGCCGGUGACAAACCGGAGGAAGGUGGGGAUGACGUCAAGUCCUCAUGGCCCUUAUGGGUAGGGCUUCACACGUCAUACAAUGGUCGGGUACAGAGGGUUGCCAAGCCGCGAGGCGGAGCCAAUCCCACAAAGACCGAUCGUAGUCCGGAUUGUUCUCUGCAACUCGAGAGCAUGAAGUCGGAAUCGCUAGUAAUCGCAGGUCAGCAUACUGCGGUGAAUACGUUCCCGGGUCUU
rnacentral:rRNA from 1 species